rnacentral:misc_RNA from 1 species
GAAAUGCGAUAAGUAAUGUGAAUUGCAGAAUUCAGUGAAUCAUCGAAUCUUUGAACGCACCUUGCGCUCCUUGGUAUUCCUUGGAGCAUGCCUGUUUGAGUAUCAUGAAAUCUUCAAAGUAAAUCUUUUAUUAACUCAAUUGGUUUCUACUUUGGUAUUGGAGGUCUUUGCAGCUUCACACCUGCUCCUCUUUGUUCAUUAGCUGGAUCUCAGUGUUAUGCUUGGUUCCACUCGGCGUGAUAAGUUAUCUAUCGCUGAGGACACUGUAAAAGGUGGCCAAGGUAAAUGCAGAUGAACCGCUUCUAAUAGUCCAUUGACUUGGACAAUACUUUUAUGAUCUGAUCUCGAAUCAGGUAGGACUACCCGCUGAACUUAAGC